AUUGAACGCUGGCGGCAGGCUUAACACAUGCAAGUCGAACGCGUGGCGGACGGGUGAGUAAUGCUUGGGAAUCUGGCUUAUGGAGGGGGAUAACGACGGGAAACUGUCUCAAAUACCGUGAUCUAGAGGAAGAGCACAAGUGGGAUUAGGUUGGUGGUGGGGUAAUGGCCUACCAAGGCGACGAUCUCUAGCGGGUCUGAGAGGAUGACCAGCCACACCGGGACUGAGACACGGCCCGGACUCCUACGGGAGGCAGCAGUGGGGAAUAUUGCGCAAUGGGGGCAACCUGACGCAGCCAUGCCGCGUGAAUGAAGAAGGCCUUCGGGUUGUAAAGUUCUUUCGGUGACGAGGCGUUAAUCACAGAAGAAGCACCGGCUAACUCCGUGCCAGCAGCCGCGGUAAUUC
rnacentral:rRNA from 1 species